AUUGAACGCUGGCGGCAGGCCUAACACAUGCAAGUCGAGCGGAGCGGCGGACGGGUGAGUAAUGCCUAGGAAUCGGCCUGGUAGUGGGGGAUAACGUCCGGAACUGGGAGCUAAUGCCGCUUACUAUUAGAUGCGACUAGGUCGGAUUGGCUUGUUGGUGGGGUAAAGGCAAACCAAGGCGACGAUCCGUAACUGGUCUGAGAGGAUGAUCAGUCACACUGGAACUGAGACACGGUCCAGACUCCUACGGGAGGCAGCAGUGGGGAAUAUUGGACAAUGGGCGAAAGCCUGAUGCAGCCAUGCCGCGUGUAUGAAGAAGGCCUUCGGAUUGUAAAGCACUUUAAGUUGGGAGGCGUUACCAGCAGAAUAAGCACCGGCUAACUCCGUGCCAGCAGCCGCGGUAAUUC
rnacentral:rRNA from 1 species